UACGUAGGUGGCGAGCGUUGUCCGGAUUUACUGGGCGUAAAGAGCGCGCAGGCGGUCGUGCAAGUCGCGUGUGAAAGCCCCCCGGCUCAACUGGGGAGGGUCACGCGAUACUGCUCGACUUGAAGGCAGGAGAGGGAAGUGGAAUUCCCGGUGUAGUGGUGAAAUGCGUAGAUAUCGGGAGGAACACCAGUGGCGAAGGCGACUUCCUGGCCUGUUCUUGACGCUGAGGCGCGAAAGCUAGGGUAGCAAACGGGAUUAGAUACCCCGGUAGUCC
rnacentral:rRNA from 1 species